UACGUAGGUGGCAAGCGUUGUCCGGAUUUACUGGGCGUAAAGAGCGCGCAGGCGGUCGUUCAAGUCGCGUGUGAAAGCCCCCGGCUCAACUGGGGAGGGUCACGCGAUACUGAUCGACUCGAAGGCAGGAGAGGGAAGUGGAAUUCCCGGUGUAGUGGUGAAAUGCGUAGAUAUGUGGAGGAACACCGAUGGCGAAGGCAGCCCCCUGGGCUAGUACUGACGCUCAUGCACGAAAGCGUGGGGAGCAAACAGG
rnacentral:rRNA from 1 species